rnacentral:rRNA from 1 species
UACGUAGGGUGCAAGCGUUAAUCGGAAUUACUGGGCGUAAAGCGUGCGCAGGCGGUGAUGUAAGACAGUUGUGAAAUCCCCGGGCUCAACCUGGGAACUGCAUCUGUGACUGCAUCGCUGGAGUGCGGCAGAGGGGGAUGGAAUUCCGCGUGUAGCAGUGAAAUGCGUAGAUAUGCGGAGGAACACCGAUGGCGAAGGCAAUCCCCCUGGGCCUGCACUGACGCUCAUGCACGAAAGCUGGGGAGCAAACAGG